AAACCUGUCAAUCAUAUUAUAUAUACAUACAUAUGUAUAUAUUUAAUGUAUUUCGAAAACUUUGCUAACAGAAAGCAUAAAGUGAAAUAAAGUUACGUGAAACACAAAUUUUAAGGUUUGUUUGUGUAAAUAAAAAUCGAUUUGUGACUGUAAAUUAGAGCUGUUACUUUAUAAAAUGCUUCUGAGGAGGACAACUUCUCAUCACCACUAAUCAAAACAUAUAGAGCUUGAAGAAGCAUAAUUGAAACGCUGGAAUAUAAUGCAAUGACAGGAAGUGAAACUUUUUGAAUGAGCAAAUAGUAAAUCUCAUAAAAGAAAUGGCAAACACUCGGUGUAAACAAAAGCAAGUGUUUUUUAGCACUCCGUCAUCCUAUCGUUGACAUACAUACUACUUUAUCCUUAUAUGAUAAUUAUUUUUAGGUGAAUGACACUUAUAACUUCAAAUUAGCUAGUUUGCGGAAGUGUGAAGAGCUUAAUAAAUGUUAAAACUCAUAAAGUAUAGCAUAAAGUAGCAAGCAUUAAUUACCGAGUAUUUUGUCACGGAAUUCUCUUUUUAUCUGCUUCCUGCGCAAUAACACUGACCUAUGAGCCCAUAAACAUGGGCAUCUACCAUUUUAACACCAUCCCAUCAUUUCCGCCGCCUAAUGACGAGGUAACAGCAUACAUUUCUGCGCUCAUCGUGUGUUCUUAUCUUGCUACGCAAUCAAGAGCCUAGUGAAUUGUACCACCAAAACUUUUAACAGUAGUUGUAGCUGUGGGAUGUAGUGAUGUAGCGUAGUAGAGUUGAUGUAAUUUGUAUAGCCAUUAGUUGUCAGAUGACGUCACAAAUGGAGGGAAGAGUUUUUUAAACACAUUUUAUAUUUCUGUGUACAUAUAUUCUCUAUUUAAUAAAAAUAGCUGUAAUUUAUUUUAAUAAUAGAUAUUUGUUUGAAA